CCUACGGGAGACUGCAGUGAGGAAUAUUGGUCAAUGGACGAGAGUCUGAACCAGCCAAGUAGCGUGAAGGAUGACUGCCCUAUGGGUUGUAAACUUCUUUUAUAUGGGAAUAAAAUGUUCCACGUGUGGGAUUUUGUAUGUACCAUAUGAAUAAGGAUCGGCUAACUCCGUGCCAGCAGCCGCGGUAAUACGGAGGAUCCGAGCGUUAUCCGGAUUUAUUGGGUUUAAAGGGAGCGUAGGUGGAUUGUUAAGUCAGUUGUGAAAGUUUGCGGCUCAACCGUAAAAUUGCAGUUGAGACUGGCAGUCGUGAGUACAGUAGAGGUGGGCGGAAUUCGUGGUGUAGCGGUGAAAUGCUUAGAUAUCACGAAGAACUCCGAUUGCGAAGGCAGCUCACUGGACUGCAACUGACACUGAGGCUCGAAAGUGUGGGUAUCAAACAGGAUUAGAUACCCGGGUAGUC
rnacentral:rRNA from 1 species